UCGAAUACCACCGAAGAAGCCAGCAUCAGAGGAAAAGCUGUAACCCUCUCUCUGUUGAGAGUGAGACGAGAAGCAUAAAAAUUAGAUCUCUCUACUCUUCUGAUUAACGAUUUAGACGGAUUUACUUUUACGUCUCUUUUCAAUGGGGUUACCUAAAUGCCCAUUUCUUACUCGUGGUUAUGAAAUUGCUAAAGAAAAAGCGGAACUUAAGUAUCAGAAUUGUCUGUACUGAGGACGAACGGAAAGAGUAUGUGCACAGGUAUAUACAGGAAGAGAUGCUCAAGGUUAAUCAGGCAAGACUCGCUAAUGGAUUAGACAGAGUGACUUCCCAGAGAUUACUGGAAGAGGAUCAGUCUAAGACUACAGAUAGUUCUGACAAAAACACUGGGACAGUACAUGUAUUAAAACCUGGGAGAAAAUCUGCUGGUAUAUCAAAAAAGAGUAAAUCUUGAAAUAAAGAUUGUUUUGACAACAAACUGAUGAUGGAUAAAAAGUCCAAGGAUAUUGAGUUAACUGACGCUGCAAUCUUUCCCGAGGUAAAAGAUCAAAAUGAAGAGACCAUUGUUGGCACCCUUCAAUCCCAUGUAAACGGGUUUAGAUGUGUAACCUCCAGUUCCCAAUUCAAUGUGUGUUUUCUGUAUAAGGAUGUAAAGCAAGCUAUCUACCGAGUUGAAGACGAGAAGAAGAAUCCGCCUCUCUUGCACUUCCACUUGGUUCGCCCCGUUAAGGUGGGGACAAAAAAGACAAAGGAAAUCCAAUUCCGAUUACAAUUAGUACCUACCCCUGUGAUACAGAGGAGAUCUGAUGAUGAUUCAAAUUGUGGCCGCAACAAGGAUUUAAAGAUCUUUGUCUUAAGAGUUCAAGCUAAAUUGAGGUGGCUACGGGCUAUUCCCUCCAAGGUAGAGUCCAUCUUUGGCCUGACAUGGUUUUCGAUAGUCGGGCUUGCUUUCUGUGUGGAUCUAUGAUUGUUAAUCUGGCGAAACUUAAACCUGAGGAAAUUGAUAUGACUGUCGUUUUUAUGGACUUGAAGCGUGAUCCGCUUCAAAUUAACUCAAUUCCCUUGCACUCGCUCGAUGUCAUAAAACGUCGCCUUGACUUUGGGGACGUUAAAUAUUUUGUGAACAGUAAAAAACCAGACUGCUGGUUGCCUAGAGUGAAAGAGAUAGCAGAGCCUCAGAAGUUCAGUGGAUGGAAGUCUAUUGAUCUUGAGGAUCCUGAAACUUUGAGCUACUACGACUGCAACAAAAAAGGAUGCAAAGUAGUAGAGUCUGAUUCAAAUAAAGAAGUUCACUACUGCUACAACUCGGAAGGAUCCCUAAUAGUACUGAGUGAUUCAGAAACAGAAGAUUAAGAAAGUGAGAUAUUGGUGGAAUGAGAGGAUUCUAUUAGAUGAGAAUCUGCUGUAUAAGGAGCAAUGAAUCAGAAGCAGGAGAGGUUGAGUUUAGACAAAGAAGUCAAGAGAGAACUACAAAAUCAUCUCUGUUGCUAUUGUUAUAUUUCUAUUAAUAGAUGCAUAUAAUUUAGAUUAACCUAGAAUGCCAUAUUAGUUAUGCCCUUAUUAUCAGAAGUAGGUUUGGAUAAUACUACUAAUGUAGAAAUGUUUUCAACCUGUCAUCAUUGUGGGCAAUCAUCUCAAUGUUGUUUUGUUGGUAAUUCACGACAAUAUCUUACUAGGUGCAACUUGCUGAAUAGAAUUGAAUGCCAAGAUAAAGCUUGCUAUAGAUUUACUUGAAUGGAAAUUUUGUUUUGCUUUAGUUUUUGAAUCCAGGAUUCUCUUGUACUCUAAUAGAUAUCAAUACGACUUGUUGGGAUUCAGAAAUCUGUUGUAUAUUCUAAGCCUUUUCAGAAAUCUGAGCCCUGAAAGAUGUUAAACGAUCCAGAAUUGAUAUUUCAGCAUACAUGGAGCCAUAGACGCGUCAAGAGUAACAAGAGUAUUUAGUUUACUACUUUACUUUCCCUUUUUACCAUCUUGUUAUUACAGCUCUUUAAUAUCUGUCUUUUCUGUUUUCUAUGGCUUAGAUUUCCACACAUGUGUGGCUGACAUUCUUUCUUGUCAGACUCUUUUCUGUAUUUGACAUUCUUUCUUGUCAGACUCUUUUCUGUAUUUAUUACUGUGUACGAAUCAGUUGUGAAUCUAUGAAGAAUUAUGUUUUCCUUUUA